rnacentral:rRNA from 1 species
GAUGAACGCUGGCGGCGUGCCUAAUACAUGCAAGUCGAACGAAACUUCUUUAUCACCGAGUGCUUGCACUCACCGAUAAAGAGUUGAGUGGCGAACGGGUGCGUAACACGUGGGCAACCUGCCCACAAGAGGGGGAUAACACUUGGAAACAGGUGCUAAUACCGCAUAACCAUAGUUACCGCAUGGUAACUAUGUAAAAGGUGGCUAUACUACCGCUUUUGGAUGGGCCCGCGGCGCAUUAGCUAGUUGGUAGGGUAAAGGCUUACCAAGGCAAUGAUGCGUAGCCGAAUUGAGAGGUUGAUCGGCGACAGUGGGACUGAGACACGGCCCAAGCUCCUACGGGAGGCAGCAGUAGGGAAGCGUCCACAAUGGGCGAAAGCCUGAUGGAGCAACGCCGCGUGGGUGAAGAAGGUCUUCGGAUCGUAAAACCCUGUUGUUAGAGAAGAAAGUGCGUGAGAGUAACUGUUCACGUUUCGACGGUAUCUAACCAGAAAGCCACGGCUAACUACGG